GAGAGCGUGGUGUAACUGGAUAACACAUCAGUCUACGAAACUGGGAAGUGAAGGUUCGAGUCCUUCCGUUCUCG
rnacentral:tRNA from 1 species